UACGUAGGGUCCAAGCGUUAAUCGGAAUUACUGGGCGUAAAGCGUGCGCAGGCGGUUCGUCGUGUCGGCGGUGAAAGCCCCGGGCUCAACCUGGGAAUGGCCGUUGAAACUGGCGAACUGGAGUGUGGCAGAGGGGGGUGGAAUUCCGCGUGUAGCAGUGAAAUGCGUAGAGAUGCGGAGGAACACCGAUGGCGAAGGCAGCCCCCUGGGCUGACACUGACGCUCAGGCACGAAAGCGUGGGGAGCAAACAGG
rnacentral:rRNA from 1 species